AGCUCAUGUACCUAAGGAAGCUUAACUGAACGUGGCAACCCGAGCUGCUGUUUUGGUCAUGGAAUCAGAUGUCUUUUGCUAUUCUGAGACCCAAAGAGCCCAGCCUGAAAUAACAGUAUCUGCGGCUUCCCAUGUGUCAACUGCAUGUUUUCCAGCCCAGACCAGUUCCGGUGGAACAAGAUGUGAUCAACCAUAUCAGGUUCUCCAAGUGCAGUGAUUGCUCUUUUGAGAAGAAACUAUUCCUUAUCACCAUUGUGAUGAAUUGUGAGACAAGUGUCUCUGCAUCUGAUGCCCUCUCAUCCUGAGAGGCUGGCAAGCAAAGACAGAGCAGGAAUGAAAUUUAUCAGACACAUGUUUCACUUCUCACUUCAACCCAGAUCAAAAUGGAAGCCUCCUUGGUUGCUUAUCAAAGCCCAUAAGCCAACAAUAUUGAGGUGUUUGCAAGCAAUAACAGAGUCGGAAAAGAGCUCGUGCCUCUUAUACUUCAGGGAGUAUAAUAGACAAUGAUUGGCCUCUGUUCUACUCCCUUUUUUAAAAAAACAGGGAAUAGUGAGAACAUAGUUCCCACUGCCACAAAUUAUGCAAUUGAGUUUCCCACAUUUGGGGAAAUCACAGGGUCAGCACGUCUAGAGUGCAAUGGAUAAACCUCACCCUGGGAAAACCACCUUCAUGAUCAUGGUAUCUCCCCUGCCAGCCAUGAUCAUGAGGCCUCCCAGUCAUGUGGAACUCUACUUGGAGGUACCACAAAGGAAUGCAGAGAUGACCAUGGUGUAGUUUCUGCCCACAAAGAGUGAAUGCUCUGGUCUAUAGAGGAAGCAGUCCACGAAUAACCGCAAGACCACGGCAUGAAGUGCGCCCUAGUGAAGUACGCACUGUAAUGAAGUAUGUGUCAAAUCAGCCGUAAGGGAAGCUAACUGGAGGCAAGGAAAAUCUGCAGAGAGCAAGGGGAUUCGGGCUGGAUCCUAGGACUCUGUAGCAUUUCUCCAGGCCUAGGAGGGAAGGGCACUCCUGGGAAAGGGAAGAGGCGUGAAAAGUCGAAAAGAAGUGCAAAGGUCAUUGUGUAUUUGGUGAGCAGGCUGCAGACUGGCAGAAUGGCAGGGGAGGAGGGUGUGGGGACAGAGAUGGGGGGCCUGCGGGUGAAGGCAGGUGGGCCAGACUGCAGGCGGCCAUGACUCCAGGCUGAGUGGCGGCUGCAGACCAGGGGUGCCAUAGGGAACUGUGCAGCGCUCUUUCACUUGACCUCCGGUCUACAUCCGCUCUCCCGGUCUCCACCCUGCUCUGCCCUUGGGAGGCGGACUACGUGGACUACGCUGAUGGCUGCCCUUUCCCUCUGGCUUCAGGUUGGGAGCCAAGAGGAAGCCUGGCAGGAGGUGGAAGGAGAGAGGAAGGCAAGGUUGGACUAUUUAUGUCCCUGGCUCCCUUCCUGGGCUGGCGGCAUCCCUCCAGCAGGCCCACAAUUCCCGUCAGGCAGCCCCUCCACACAGCUGCUGGCAGCACACGCUCUCAUGGUGGCGGGCUCCAGGCUCUGUGCUUUCCCUGUGGGUGCCCACACCCGCUCACGCCUUCGUACAGAAGCUCUUCAUUGAGCUGUCUUCGCUUUACCUGGUUGGACUGUUUUAUCUCUUCUCUACCAGGACUUGAGCUGAUACAGUCAGGCAGCAAGGAAAUGGGGUGGGAGUGGGGACUACUGAAGGCAUUAGGGGCAAAUGCAGAGAGGGAGGGUGUGGGAGAAGGAGGGGACUGGGGGAUGGUAGGUGGUGAUGUGGUGAAACCGGGGAUAUGAGGGAGGGGCGAUGACGGACUAGACACAGACCACAGCACUUAUGUGAAACCUACGUGUGUCAGGCACUCUUCCCCAGGCUUUCACAGAACUCAUUUAACCCAUACAGAUUCUGUAUGAGACAUCCUAUUUAACAGAUGAGAAAACUGAGGCACAGAGAGGCCAAGUGACUUGGUCAACAUCCCAAACUAGUAAGUGAUGAAGCUCAGAUUGAAACCGAGGCGAGUCCGGUACCAGAGUCAUAUUCUCAACUACUGCACUGAACUGACUACUCUGAUUGAGGUCAAGGAGGAGGAGGACUUCAGAGCUGGGGAUGUUGGGGGCGACAAGGGACUGUGAUGGCAACUCCCAGGAAAGCCAUCUGUGUGGACCGUCAAAAGAAAGCCACCUGGAGAAGAUCUUGCUAUCCUAUACAAACUGCCCCAAGGACAAUGCAUAAUCUUUUUCUUUUUUUUGACAGUGCGUAAUUUUGUACAGGUAUCAGAAGGCAGUAAUCCUCAACAAUUUGGAUCCUUGUGUUCAAAUACAUUACAAUUAGCUCUGCUAUAAUAACUAUGUUCCUAAGAACCUCACAUUUAUUUAACAAAUCAUAUAAAUAGCUAUUUCAAUAUGGGAAAAGGAGGGCUGUGGUUACAGAGUUGAUAAAACUAGAUAAUUUUUUCCUACAGGAGCUUCAACAACAAACAACUUAAUUAUAUUUGUUACCAUCUGCAAAUAAUAAACGGCUUGAUCAGACCAACAAAAGAGAACUAAAAGCAAAACCUGAACAGCACAGAAAAACAACCUGCAGUCACAUUCACACCCACUGAUGGUAGAGAACAGUGCUUGACGCCAGCUGGCCUCCCACCACUCAUACAGUACCUCAGUGUGGCCCUGCACCCAUGCGCAGCCCUUCCUUCCUGUGGGCCCAGGGACUCUCUGAUGGCACUCACAUCCCCACCCUGAUUGGUCCAGAAAAUCCAAGCCCCACUCCUCAUGUAGUCAGUUGCAUAAUACUCAGUUCUGAGAAUGAAAACUUACACUGUCAGGAAAAUAUUGAUCCAUAUCGGUUAAGGUCUCUUGCAGCAGAUAAGAUCAUAAAGACAACCAUGCUCUGGAAAAUAAGGAGUGGUUUAUACAUGUAACCACAGCACAGCACACCCUGUUACUCUUUUCUUUUAGAGACAGGGUCUUGUUCUGUCACCCAGGCAGGAGCGCAAUGGCACAGUCAUAGCUCACUA